rnacentral:misc_RNA from 1 species
UCCGGUUUGUCACCGGCAGUCUCCCAUGAGUCCCCAACUUAAUGCUGGCAACAUGCGACGGGGGUUGCGCUCGCUGCGGGACUUAACCCAACAUCUCACGACACGAGCUGACGACAGCCAUGCAGCACCUGUGUUCGCAUUCCCGAAGGCACUCCCGCAUCUCUGCAGGAUUCGCGACAUGUCAAGGCCAGGUAAGGUUCUUCGCGUUGCAUCGAAUUAAACCACAUGCUCCACCGCUUGUGCGGGCCCCCGUCAAUUCCUUUGAGUUUCAGUCUUGCGACCGUACUCCCCAGGCGGGGUACUUACUGUGUUAACGACGGCACCGAGGGGGUCGCUCCCCCCGACGCCUAGUACCCAUCGUUUACGGCGUGGACUAC